AGCGAACGCUGGCGGCAUGCUUAACACAUGCAAGUCGCACGGGCAUUUCGGUGUCAGUGGCGGACGGGUGAGUAACGCGUAGGUAUCUAUCCUUGGGUGGGGACAACGGUUGGAAACGACUGCUAAUACCGCAUGAUAACUGAGGUUUAAAGGCGCAAGUCGCCUGAGGAGGAGCCUGCGUACGAUUAGCUAGUUGGUGGGGUAAAGGCCUACCAAGGCGACGAUCGUUAGCUGGCUGAGAGGAUGAUCAGCCACAUUGGGACUGAGACACGGCCCAAACUCCUACGGGAGGCAGCAGUGGGGAAUAUUGGACAAUGGGCGCAAGCCUGAUCCAGCAAUGCCGCGUGUGUGAAGAAGGUCUUCGGAUUGUAAAGC
rnacentral:rRNA from 1 species